GACGAACGCUGGCGGCGUGCCUAAUACAUGCAAGUCGAACGCAGUGGGGACGGGUGAGUAACACGUGGGUAACCUCCCAUCAGAGGGGAACACACUUGGAAACAGGUGCUAAACCGAUACUGAUGGAUGGACCCGCGGGUCAGUAGCUAGUUGGGGAGGAGACGGAUCACCAAGGCCCCGAUGCAUAGCCGACUUGUGAGGGUAAUCGGCCACACUGGGACUGAGCAACGGCCCAGCCUCUGACGGUAGGCAGCUGUAGGGAAUCUUCGGAAAUGGACUAAAGUCUGACCGAGCAACGCCGCGUGAGUGAAGAAGGUUUUCGGAUCGUAAAACUCUGUUUUUAGAGAAGCGGUAUCUAACCAGAAAGCCACGGCUAACUACGUGCCAGCAGCCGCGGUAAUAC
rnacentral:rRNA from 1 species